rnacentral:rRNA from 1 species
UACGUAGGGUGCGAGCGUUAAUCGGAAUUACUGGGCGUAAAGCGUGCGCAGGCGGUUCGGAAAGAAAGAUGUGAAAUCCCAGAGCUUAACUUUGGAACUGCAUUUUUAACUCCCGGGCUAGAGUGUGUCAGAGGGGGGUAGAAUUCCACGUGUAGCAGUGAAAUUCGUAGAUAUCGGGAGGAACACCAGUGGCGAAGGCGGCGACCUGGACGGACACUGACGCUGAGACGCGAAAGCGUGGGGAGCAAACAGG